rnacentral:rRNA from 1 species
UACAGAGGGGGCAAGCGGUUGUUCGGAAUUACUGGGCGUAAAGGGGCGCGUAGGCGGCCGCCUAAGUCAGACGUGAAAUCCCUCGGCUCAACCGGGGAACUGCGUCUGAUACUGGGUGGCUUGAAUCCGGGAGAGGGAUGCGGAAUUCCAGGUGUAGCGGUGAAAUGCGUAGAUAUCUGGAGGAAUACCGGUGGCGAAGGCGGCAUCCUGGACCGGUAUUGACGCUGAUGCGCGAAAGCCAGGGGAGCAAAGCGGGAUUAA